GGUGAACCUGCGGAGGGAUCAUUACCGAGUUUACAACUCCCAAACCCCUGUGAACAUACCACUUGUUGCCUCGGCGGAUCAGCCCGCUCCCGGUAAAACGGGACGGCCCGCCAGAGGACCCCUAAACUCUGUUUCUAUAUGUAACUUCUGAGUAAAACCAUAAAUAAAUCAAAACUUUCAACAACGGAUCUCUUGGUUCUGGCAUCGAUGAAGAACGCAGCAAAAUGCGAUAAGUAAUGUGAAUUGCAGAAUUCAGUGAAUCAUCGAAUCUUUGAACGCACAUUGCGCCCGCCAGUAUUCUGGCGGGCAUGCCUGUUCGAGCGUCAUUUCAACCCUCAAGCACAGCUUGGUGUUGGGACUCGCGUUAAUUCGCGUUCCUCAAAUUGAUUGGCGGUCACGUCGAGCUUCCAUAGCGUAGUAGUAAAACCCUCGUUACUGGUAAUCGUCGCGGCCACGCCGUUAAACCCCAACUUCUGAAUGUGACCUCGGAUCAGGUAGAUAUCC
rnacentral:rRNA from 1 species